GAUAAAGAAGUAAAAUUACAUUUAAUUUCGACUUAAAAUUAGAGGUAUAUCUCCAUAUCU
rnacentral:tRNA from 1 species